UACGUAGGGGGCAAGCGUUGUCCGGAAUCAUUGGGCGUAAAGCGCGCGUAGGCGGCCCGGUAAGUCGGGUGUGAAAUCUCGGAGCUUAACUCCGAAACUGCAUUCGAUACUGCCGUGCUUGAGGACUGGAGAGGAGACUGGAAUUUACGGUGUAGCGGUGAAAUGCGUAGAUAUCGUAAGGAAGACCAGUGGCGAAGGCGGGUCUCUGGACAGUUCCUGACGCUGAGGCACGAAGGUCAGGGGAGCAAACGGG
rnacentral:rRNA from 1 species